AGUGAACGCUGGCGGUAGGCCUAACACAUGCAAGUCGAACGGCAGCACAGUAAGAGCUUGCUCUUACGGGUGGCGAGUGGCGGACGGGUGAGGAAUACAUCGGAAUCUACUUUUUCGUGGGGGAUAACGUAGGGAAACUUACGCUAAUACCGCAUACGACCUACGGGUGAAAGCAGGGGAUCUUCGGACCUUGCGCGAUUGAAUGAGCCGAUGUCGGAUUAGCUAGUUGGCGGGGUAAAGGCCCACCAAGGCGACGAUCCGUAGCUGGUCUGAGAGGAUGAUCAGCCACACUGGAACUGAGACACGGUCCAGACUCCUACGGGAGGCAGCAGUGGGGAAUAUUAGACAAUGGGCGCAAGCCUGAUCCAGCCAUACCGCGUGGGUGAAGAAGGCCUUCGGGUUGUAAAGUCCUUUUGUUGGGAAAGAAAAGCAGCAGGUUAAUACCCCGCUGUUCUGACGGUACCCAAAGAAUAAGCACCGGCUAACUUCGUG
rnacentral:rRNA from 1 species